UCCUGGCCGUAAACGAUGUGCACUGGGUGUAGGAGGCAUCGACCCCUCCUGUGCCGAAGCUAACGCAUUAAGUGCACCGCCUGGGGAGUACGAUCGCAAGAUUGAAACUCAAAGGAAUUGACGGGGGCCCGCACAAGCGGUGGAGCAUGUGGUUCAAUUCGACGCAACGCGAAGAACCUUACCAGGGUUUGACAUGCAGCUGCUAAUCCCGGGAAACCGGGACUCCUUCGAGGGUGCUGCACAGGUGCUGCAUGGCUGUCGUCAGCUCGUGUCGUGAGAUGUUGGGUUAAGUCCCGCAAC
rnacentral:rRNA from 1 species